UACAGAGGGGGCAAGCGUUGUUCGGAAUUACUGGGCGUAAAGGGCGCGUAGGCGGCCUGUUAAGUCGAACGUGAAAUCCCCGGGCUCAACCCGGGAACUGCGUCCGAUACUGGCAGGCUUGAAUCCGGGAGAGGGAUGCGGAAUUCCAGGUGUAGCGGUGAAAUGCGUAGAUAUCGGGAGGAACACCAGUGGCGAAGGCGGUUGCCUGGGGCUUUGCUGACGCUGAUGCGCGAAAGCGUGGGGAGCGAUCCGG
rnacentral:rRNA from 1 species